rnacentral:rRNA from 1 species
GCUCAGUAACACGUGGAUAACAUGCCCUAAAGCGGGGGAUAAUCUCGGGAAAUUGAGGAUAAUACCCCAUAGAUCAUAGGAUCUGGAAUGACUUAUGGUCGAAAGUUCUGGCGCUUUAGGAUUGGUCUGCGGCCUAUCAGGUUGUAGUGGGUGUAACGGACCCACUAGCCGACGACGGGUAUGGGCCUUGAGAGAGGGAGCCCAGAGAUGGAUUCUGAGACACGAAUCCAGGCCCUACGGGGCGCAGCAGUCGCGAAAACUUCACACUGGAGGCAACUCCGAUGAGGGAAUUCCUAGUGCUAGCACAUUAGUGUUAGCUUUUCUUAAGCGUAGAUAACUUAAGGAAUAAGGGCUGGGUAAGACGGGUGCCAGCCGCCGCGGUAAUACCCGCAGCCCAAGUGGUGGUCGAUUUUAUUGAGUCUAAAACGUUCGUAGCCGGUUUGGUAAAUCCUUGGGUGAAUCGAGAGGCUUAACCUUUCGAAUUCCGAGGAGACUGCCAAACUUGGGACCGGGAGAGGCGAGAGGUACUUCUGGGGUAGGGGUAAAAUCCUGUAAUCCUAGAAGGACCACCGGUGGCGAAGGCGUCUCGCUAGAACGGAUCCGACGGUGAGGGACGAAGCCCUGGGUCGCAAACGGGAUUAGAUACCCCGGUAGUCCAGGGUGUAAACGCUGCAGACUUGGUGUUGGGGGCCCUACGGGGGCGUUCAGUGCCGGAGAGAAGUUGUUAAGUCUGCUACUUGGGGAGUACGUCCGCAAGGAUGAAACUUAAAGGAAUUGGCGGGGGAGCACAAUCUCCCUGUUCC